UAAAUUCUGCUAGCAGAAUCACACUUGUAAGUCCCUUUGGCUUCUGCUAUGUUUCACUCUGGGUUGCUACAGCUGAUCUGAGGUGGAUCUGCAUGUUGACUAGGCACAAGUUUUAUGCUGGAUGCCU